rnacentral:rRNA from 1 species
UACGAAGGGGGCUAGCGUUGUUCGGAUUUACUGGGCGUAAAGCGCGUGUAGGCGGACUUGUAAGUUGGGGGUGAAAUCCCGAGGCUCAACCUCGGAACUGCCUCCAAAACUACAAGUCUGGAGCAAGAUAGAGGCAAGUGGAAUUGCGAGUGUAGAGGUGAAAUUCGUAGAUAUUCGCAGGAACACCAGUGGCGAAGGCGACUCACUGGCCCGAUACUGACGCUGAGGCACGAAAGCGUGGGGAGCAAACAGG